CGCUUUGGAUUCAAGAGCAAACUUGAAUUACAGAAACUCAAGUCUGAGGAAUGGUGGACCUUGUAUGCCGUAGAAAUAUCCAGCUGCCAUGCUGUGAGCUGCUUUAUUGAGAUGCCCAUGUGGCAAGGCACUGAUGUCUGUAGCCAAAAGCCAGCAACCCAAGGCCUGCCAAAAGCCACGUGCAUGAACUUGGAAGUGGAUCUUCUCUCAGUUGGGCCCUGAGAUGAUGACAGCACCAGCUAACACCUCGAUGACAGCCUUGUGAGAUACCCUGAGCCAGAGGUACCUAGCUAAGUCGUGUUUGGAUUACUAAUCAACAGAAACGUUGGGAAAAUAAAUGUUUUUUGUUUUAAGUUGUUGAAUUUUGGGCUAGAUAGAUAACUAAUAUGUUGUAUAACUACAAUGCAGGAUUAUUUUUGUCUAUAAUAUAAAUUUUAUAUAUAUAUAUAUAUGUAACUAUAUAUA
rnacentral:antisense_RNA from 1 species